GACAGAGGGUGCAAACGUUGUUCGGAAUUACUGGGCGUAAAGCGCGUGUAGGCGGUUCGGAAAGUCGGAUGUGAAGGCCCUGGGCUUAACCCAGGAAGUGCACUCGAAACUCCCGAACUAGAGUCCUGGAGAGGAAGGCGGAAUUCUCGGUGUAGAGGUGAAAUUCGUAGAUAUCGAGAGGAACAUCGGUGACGAAGGCGGCCUUCUGGACAGCGACUGACGCUGAGACGCGAAAGCGUGGGGAGCAAACAGG
rnacentral:rRNA from 1 species